rnacentral:rRNA from 1 species
UGGCGGCGAGUGGCGAACGGGUGAGUAAUAUAUCGGAACGUGCCCAGUAGUGGGGGAUAGCCCGGCGAAAGCCGGAUUAAUACCGCAUACGACCUGAGGGUGAAAGCGGGGGAUCGCAAGACCUCGCGCUACUGGAGCGGCCGAUAUCAGAUUAGCUAGUUGGUGGGGUAAAGGCCUACCAAGGCAACGAUCUGUAGUUGGUCUGAGAGGACGACCAGCCACACUGGGACUGAGACACGGCCCAGACUCCUACGGGAGGCAGCAGUGGGGAAUUUUGGACAAUGGGCGCAAGCCUGAUCCAGCAAUGCCGCGUGCAGGAAGAAGGCCUUCGGGUUGUAAACUGCUUUUGUCAGGGAAGAAAUCUUCUGGGCUAAUACCCCGGGAGGAUGACGGUACCUGAAGAAUAAGCACCGGCUAACUACGUGCCAGCAGCCGCGGUAAUACGUAGGGUGCGAGCGUUAAUCGGAAUUACUGGGCGUAAAGCGUGCGCAGGCGGCUUUGCAAGACAGAGGUGAAAUCCCCGGGCUCAACCUGGGAACUGCCUUUGUGACUGCAAGGCUAGAGUACGGCAGAGGGGGAUGGAAUUCCGCGUGUAGCAGUGAACUGCGUAGCUAUGCGGAGGAACACCGAUGGCGAAGGCAAUCCCCUGGGCCUGUACUGACG